rnacentral:rRNA from 1 species
GCCAGCCGUAAAUUUAAGCAAAUAUGUACCAUUUUGCUCGCCAGAAAAUUACAAGCGAAAGCACAAAAUUCAAAGGACUUGACGGUGUUCCACAUCAGCCUAGAGGAGCCUGUCCUAUAAUCGACAAUCCACGUUAUACCUCACCCACUUUUGCCCAAACAGCCUAUAUACCGCCGUCGUAAGCUCAUCUAAUGAUAGAAUUAAAAUAAGCAAAAGUGUCCAUCACAAAAACGUCAGGUCAAGGUGUAGCUAAUAAGUAGGUACGCGAUGGGCUACAUUUUUAAAAUUUAAAAAUUACAGCAAGAAACAUGAAAUAUGAACUAUAAAGGUGGAUUUAGCAGUAAAUAUGAGCAAGACGUGCCAUAUUGAACAUAGCUCUGGAACGCGUACAU